GAUGAACGCUAGCUACAGGCUUAACACAUGCAAGUCGCGGGGCAUCAUGGAGGUUGCUUGCAAUUUCUGAUGGCGACCGGCGCACGGGUGAGUAACGCGUAUCCAACCUUCCCAUUACUACGGCAUACCCCGUUGAAAGGCGGCCUAAUUCCGUAUGCAGUCCGAAGCAGUCAUCUAAUUUGGACGAAGGGUAUAUUCUAUCGGUAAUGGAUGGGGAUGCGUCCGAUUAGCCAGCCGGCGGGGUAACGGCCCACCGGGGCAUUGAUCGGUAGGGGUUCUGAGAGGAAGGUCCCCCACACUGGAACUGAGACACGGUCCAGACUCCUACGGGAGGCAGCAGUGAGGAAUAUUGGUCAAUGGGCGUAAGCCUGAACCAGCCAAGUAGCGUGCAGGAUGACGGCCCUAUGGGUUGUAAACUGCUUUUAUGCGGGGAUAAAGUUGGGGACGUGUCCCUUUUUGCAGGUACCGCAUGAAUAAGGACCGGCUAAUUCCGUGCCAGCAGCCGCGGUAAUACGGAAGGUCCGGGCGUUAUCCGGAUUUAUUGGGUUUAAAGGGAGCGUAGGCAGUUUUUUAAGCGUGCUGUGAAAUGUACCGGCUCAACCGGUGAUGUGCAGCGCGAACUGGGAAUCUUGAGUACGCAGUAAGCAGGCGGAAUUCGUGGUGUAGCGGUGAAAUGCUUAGAUAUCACGAAGAACUCCGAUUGCGUAGGCAGCUUGCUGUAGCGUAACUGACGCUGAAGCUCGAAAGUGCGGGUAUCGAACAGG
rnacentral:rRNA from 1 species